rnacentral:rRNA from 1 species
UACGUAGGGUGCAAGCGUUGUCCGGAAUUAUUGGGCGUAAAGAGCUCGUAGGCGGUCUGUCGCGUCUGCUGUGAAAACUCGGGGCUUAACCCCGGGCCUGCAGUGGGUACGGGCAGACUAGAGUGCGGUAGGGGAGACUGGAAUUCCUGGUGUAGCGGUGAAAUGCGCAGAUAUCAGGAGGAACACCGGUGGCGAAGGCGGGUCUCUGGGCCGUAACUGUCGCUGAGGAGCGAAAGCAUGGGGAGCGAACAGG